rnacentral:rRNA from 1 species
CUAGUCUUAUCGGUGGAGCACUCGGCUCGU